UGAGCGUUUCAGUGUCAAAUACUCGUCAAAACCGUCAAAACGUUUGAAUAAGGGUGAUCAAUUUUUUAAAUGGUUUCAAUCGAUAUCUUAAGUAUUGCUAGUUAAAGUGUAGUCUGCUGUGGUUUUCAGACCCGAAUGACACGAAGCUGCAUCAAAAAUUGCACAACAUAUAAAAUUUAAAAAAUGUGGUAGUCGUGUCAAAUUUGGUCGUGUCUGUUUUUAGAAUCGCUUAGUGCACGCCACAUGCUGUUUAAAGCAGGUAAAUAACACUAUAGGAGCUGAAACAGAAGAGUUAAACCUGAUCUAGAAAGUUUCUGAAAUGUUAUUUCCUAACAUUUAUCACGUAAGCCCCUAUGUUGAAUGUUGAUGCAUGGCCGUUUUUUUUCACCAUGUACUCAUGUACUAACAUUUUAUUUUGUGCAGAUUUUAGGUUAGAGUCAGCCAUUGUAACAACUCAGACAACAUACAACACAGUGACAUUCUUGGUCUGUGGUAACAAUAACAAGAUAUCCAAGUUUUGUUUGCGCUGUACCCAACAUCAGCAUCAAUCUCAGUAUCAUCACUUGACAAACUGCAUCCUGUUUGAAUGGAAAAACUAUCGAUGAUGUUGUUCGAGUUCUUCCCCUUUUCUCCCUUUUCCAUGUGAGUGCUGUGGGGUAUUCACAAGGUCCUCCUUUAGCUAUCCCGCCUGGUGGAUAUUAAACUUUUCAGCGGAUGGAUGAAGAACUUCUAUGGAUGGAUGCCUGGCCGUAUUUCCCAGGCUUAAAGACGCCCUCACUUUCCAUGUAGUGAAUAGCAUUUUGGAAAACCAUCAAUACCAACAAUCCUGAUCGGAGAAGACUGAAAUAGCACAGCAACAGUUGUUACAGUCACGUUGCUUGUUUCUUUGCUCACGUAGCCAUCGGCCUACCAGUCCCGCCACGAAGCUGUACUUCCCAUCAAGUUAAA